AUAACAUACGAGUCUUAAAGUCUUGUAAUUGGAAUGACGGGAAUCUAAAACCUUUCCGGAGUAUCAAUUGGAGGGCAAGUCUGGUGCCAGCAGCCGCGGUAAUUCCAGCUCCAAUAGCGUAUAUUAAAAUUGUUGCAGUUAAAAAGCUCGUAGUUGAAUUUCUGCUGCAUCCGUGUCAUUCCUAACUGGUUUGUCACUGUUGUGGCUUUUUCUGGUGGUUGUGCUUCGGCUAGAUCUCCAGAUUGUUACUUUGAGAAAAUUAGAGUGCUUCAAGCAGGCUUUUGCCUUGAAUACUUUAGCAUGGAAUAACUAAGUAGGACUUUGGUUCUAUUUUGUUGGUUUAAGAGCCAAAGUAAUGAUUAAUAGGAACAGUUGGGGGCAU
rnacentral:rRNA from 1 species